rnacentral:rRNA from 1 species
CCCUUAGAUGUCCUGGGCCGCACGCGCGCUACACUGAUGCAUUCAACGAGUUUCACCUUGGCCGAGAGGCCUGGGCAAUCUUUUAAACCUGCAUCGUGAUAGGGAUAGAUUAUUGAAAUUAUUAAUCUUGAACGAGGAAUUCCUAGUAAACGCAGAUCAUCAAUCUGCAUUGAUUACGUCCCUGCCCUUUGUACACACCGCCCGUCGCACCUACCGAUUGGAUGGUCCGGUGAAGCCUCGGGAUUGUGGUUCUUGCCGCUUUAUUGUGGCGUGACCGCGAGAACUUGUCUAAACCUUAUCAUCUAGAGGAAGGUGAAGUCGUAACA